rnacentral:rRNA from 1 species
GACGAACGCUGGCGGCGUGCCUAAUACAUGCAAGUAGGACGCAGUUGCGAACGGGUGAGUAACGCGUAGGUAACUACCUAUUAGAGGGGGAUAACUAUUGGAAACGAUAGCUCAUACCGCAUACUAGUAGUUGGACCUGCGUUGUAUUAGCUAGUAGGUAGGGUAAUGGCCUACCUAGGCAACGAUACAUAGCCGACCUGGGAGGGUGGACGGCCACACGUGGACUGGGGAACCGCCCAGAGUCCGUCGGGAGGCAGCAGUUGGGGAACUGCGGCAAUGGGGGGAACCCUGACCGACCAACGGCGCGUGGUUUGAGGAAGUUUUCGGGUCGUAAAGCUCUGUUGUGAAGGGAGCGGUACUUAACCAGAAAGGGACGGCUAACUACGUGCCAGCAGCCGCGGUAAUAC